ensembl:lncRNA
CAGGAAUUCAAUCACAGCAGCAUGAGCUUCAUUUCAGUCUGUAGCUGCUGAAUUCAUGGAUGAAUCAUCUGGCACUAGAGAGAAAGACCAUCAAACAUCCACGUCAGCUGAUGGAGGUCCAAGAGUCUCACCCAACAAACAACCUACAGAGUGAAGACCUCGAAUCUGAUUGGACAGCCUCCUAUUCAGCCACUUUAGGCUGUUAGAUUGUUCCAGAUAAGACAAGUACAAGAUUCUUCAGAGCCGUUCUACCACGAGCCUGACAGGAAGAACUCCAACAGCUACUGAAUGUUCCUGUGGUCCCCUCAAGGCUACAGGAGGAGCCCUACGAGGACGAGCCGGUCCACCUGAUGGCGGCCAGUCGCUGCGGUUCAAAGCCAACACCGACUAUGUGGACUUCUACUGGACCACACGGAGGCCUUCAAACCAGACCAAC